rnacentral:tRNA from 1 species
AUUUAAGUAGCUUAUUAGAGCAUGACAUUGAAGCUGUCAAGGAGAUAGUUAUAUUCUUAAAUA